rnacentral:rRNA from 1 species
UGUGAAAGUGCUCGAAAGAGAACCAGAACACAGGUGCUGCAUGGCCGUCGUCAGCUCGUGUCGUGAGAUGUUGGGUUAAGUCCCGCAACGAGCGCAACCCUUGUCAUUAGUUGCUACGAAAGGGCACUCUAAUGAGACUGCCGGUGACAAACCGGAGGAAGGUGGGGAUGACGUCAGGUCCUCAUGGCCCUUAUGGGUAGGGCUACACACGUCAUACAAUGGCCGGUACAGAGGGCUGCCAACCCGCGAGGGGGAGCUAAUCCCAGAAAACCGGUCGUAGUCCGGAUCGCAGUCUGCAACUCGACUGCGUGAAGUCGGAAUCGCUAGUAAUCGCGGAUCAGCUUGCCGCGGUGAAUACGUUCCCGGGUCUUGUACACACCGCCCGUCACACCAUGGGAGCGGGUUCUGC